UACGUAGGGUGCAAGCGUUUGUCCGGAAUUAUUGGGCGUAAAGAGCUCGUAGGCGGUUUGUCGCGUCUGCUGUGAAAACGCGAGGCUCAACCUCGCGCCUGCAGUGGGUACGGGCAGACUAGAGUGCGGUAGGGGAGAUUGGAAUUCCUGGUGUAGCGGUGGAAUGCGCAGAUAUCAGGAGGAACACCGAUGGCGAAGGCAGAUCUCUGGGCCGUAACUGACGCUGAGGAGCGAAAGCAUGGGGGAGCGAACAGGG
rnacentral:rRNA from 1 species